rnacentral:rRNA from 1 species
GACGAACGCUGGCGGCGUGCUUAACACAUGCAAGUCGAACGGAAAGGCCCUGCUUGCCGGGUCCUCGAGUGGCGAACGGGUGAGUAACACGUGGGUGAUCUGCCCUGCACUUCGGGAUAAGCCUGGGAAACUGGGUCUAAUACCGGAUAGGAGCCAUUUUUAGUGUGAUUGUUGGAAAGUUUUUUCGGUGUAGGAUGAGCUCGGGGCCUAUCAGCUUGUUGGUGGGGUAAUGGUCUAACAAGGCGGCGGCGGGUAGCCGGCCUGGGAGGGUGGACGGCCACAUUGGGACUGGGAUACGGCCCAGACUCCGACGGGCGGCAGCAGUGGGGAAUAUUGCACAAUGGGAGUAAGCCUGAUGCAGCGACGCCGCGUGGGGGAUGGCGACCUUCGGGUUGGAAACUCAUUUCGCUAGGGACGAAGCUGUUUGUGACGGUACCUAGAUAAGAAGCACCGGCUAACUACGUG